AAGAUUUCCCACCGCAAGGGUAAGACCCCAGAAAGACUAUCUGGUUGAUAGGUCGAAGGUGUAAGUGCAGCAAUGUAUUUAGCUUAUCGAUACUAAUAGGUCGAGGACUUGACCAAUAUU
rnacentral:rRNA from 1 species